GUCCCUCCCCUGGACGCUGGCACUCCGACUGCUUGAUUCCCCCUUCUGGCUGGCAGGGACCAGGGAUGUUGACAGGAUGGAGGCGGACUAGGGGUCCGAGCCUUCCAGCAUUCUAGGGUGGGACUGGACCUGGGGUGCUCCCUCAGGAGAGGAGGCAGAAAUUAGGGACUAGGGGGGUUAAAGCGCAGGCUUUCGCAGUGAGGACAGGUGGGUGGAGGGAGCGCUGAGGCCGAGGCCGGGGAGUUUGCGCCUGUCUCCUGGAACUGGGGUUCUCCUUUCACCUGUUGCCAGCUUCCCCCAUCACUGACCGCAGCCGAGGAAGAGGGGACAGGAGGGCUGAGGCAGAGGGGCCGGGAACGGCUUAUCUCGCCUACUCCCCAGGGCCCAGCAAAGGUCUGGUGGUUGGCGCCAGCUCUGCAGCUAAUGGCCGGUCAGUUCCCCUCCCCCUGCCCUUGGCCCACAGAAGUGGCGCACUGAUGUUCCCACCUUAAAGACACAGCGCCCCCGAACUUGGAUUAAACCCCUGCCUCGACAAGGGUGCGCACCUCUUGGGGGGCUGAGGCUGCCCGGGCUGAGGGUCUGGGCCAGCUUAGAGGCUAAGUGCCCUUUACUGGAUUCUCCCUUCUCCCCACCAACUGCCGCUCAGGCACAGGUCUUCCGGGAACCAGAGGGAUUCCUGGAGUAGGAGGGGAGGGAGCUGGGGGCUGGGGGGCAGCAGCUGCCAGGGCUGAAAGACGCACGGACUAGCAGGCACCAGUCACCAGUCCAGAGGAGGUGCAGCUGCCCAGAAAUGGGGUGGAUAAAGGGAGAUGAGAUGGGAAAGAUGCCCGCCCGCCGUUGCCUCCAAGAGAGACGGAAGCCCUCCGGACAGACCCGCAAGCAGACGCCUUUCGCUCGCUGAGCCAUCCUGUAAAGCCCACAAACAUGCAUGCACAGUGUGGCCCGUCCGCCUGAGCGCCCACACUGACGCCCCCUCAACAGCGCCCCUGCCCCCACUUAGCAGGAAGGCUGGUGGCUGGCCUUUGUGAGCCGCACAACUUGCAGAAUGCAGACACAGGCGGUCCAGGAGUGGACAGGGCAGUGUGGCUGCUCUGGAGGAGAAAGGAUGCUGAGGCCUUUCCCGUUUGCUGGGAGCCGUGUGUCUGCUGCCACUGGGGAUUCUGGGACUCUUGAGCAGAGCCAUCUACCUCAGAUGGGUCCCCAGAAGAAGCCAGAUGUGGGAGAAGCAGGCUUGGGGUUCUAGGUUGGAUGCCUGACUAGGAUAAGGAGGGCGGCUCCCUGCUGGCCAUGUCCUUCAUACUGCAGAGAUGGGCCAGAGCCAACGCCCAGCCCCAGCAGAGCAGGCGCUCCUCCCUGGCCUUCCUCCUCUCUCCAGGCCCCUCCUUCCUUCUGGGCUAUUAGUCUUUCCCGGCUCAGCUGCCAGGUCCUGCUCCUUGAUGGAUCUGGUUUGGUUGCUAGGGGAAUGUGAGAGGGGAGGUGGGGAAGGAGGAGAUGAGGUGAAUAAUGCAGGGCCUGCCCCACCCCAGUUCCUGGAGUGGAGGAGGCUACAGUCCCACAGGGGCUGCGGUGAGGGGAGGUUGUGGGAGCCUUGGUGCCUUGGCACUCUCCGCCGCAGACCUGGACUCCGAGCAUUUGCUUCCAUUGGUCUACAGCUCUAUUCAACCCAGACCCCAAAGGCAAAAGGUGAGCCCGAGCCCCCGAGCCCCCCUCCCUGGAGACAAGGCAACCAGAGGACCAGAACAAGCCUCGAAUUGGGAGCUGACCCCAGCCUUCAGAAGGGCAGAACAGGCAGGGGCGCCCUGGGCCCAGGGGGUUGCAGAUGAAGUAUCUGUUGACCUCUGCCCCUGUGUAAGCCUCGGGCUCACUACUCCGAGGCUUUGGAGAAGAGGGGACCGGAAGACCCCCAAGUAGGGCCAGGGCCGUGCUAGGGAGGAGUAAGGAGCCAGCCUGUGUGAGGGACACAGCAAGGCAAAGGCAGAGCCAGGCCUGGGAGCUCACAGAGGACAAAGACACAUGAAAACAGUCCCGGGGAAGAUUGCUCUAGCUGCUUCCUUCCCCAAAGUUUGCCUGCCCUGGAAAUGCAGACCUUUUGGCCUUCCGUUUUCUCUCAGGACGAUGGGACUACAGCCUAACGCGCUGGCUCUCGCCCUUACUAAAGCUGCCAGCCCUUUGAUCCGGUCCCCUGUGUUGUGGUGACCGCCAACCAAAGAUUAUUUCAUUGCUACUGUGAUGAAUAACCUGGCGUGUGACCCCUGGGGGCCUCUAGACUAAGUGAACAAGCGUCUUAGCACAUACCCUGUAAGGGCUGAAGUAACCCGGUGUUUAUUGGGGUUUGCUGCUGCUGCUGCUGCUCUCACGCCUCAGCCUCCAGGGCCCGAGAGGCUCUGGGCCUUUUUCGGAGUGUCCUCCCUGCUGGCUGAGAGCAGUGCCAGUAGAUUCAGCUGAUGGCUAGAGAGGAAGGUGGGCUUGUCCUUCCUUAGUGUGGAGGGGCUCAGGACAUGGCUGUUCAACCCAAUGAGCAGUGCGCUUUGGCCUUUCUUGAAGGCUCCGAGGGCCCGCCCAAUUUCCUUUAUCCCUAAACGGGAAGGCCAAGAACAGGCCCUACAUCCUAUCACCAGGAGCACUGAUGAGCUCCAGGAGGUAAGGCACUUAGGGCCUGGCCAGUGCUGUCUGACUCUCCCUCUGCGCCCAUGGUGCCCUGCAACGUUAGAGGGAAACCACCGGAUGCAAGCAAGGAGUUGCACAAAAGCCGGGCAGCUGGGCGCCGCCAUGUACAUCAUCAGCGAGGGUGCCAGUCAGCUGCGGACCCAAGACUGGUUUAGGAGAGGUAGUGUGUGGGCAAGGGGCAGAGGGGAGUAGAUGAGUGAAGAGGGCGAAAGCUGGACUCCAGCGAGGCCAAAGAGUGGGCGGGGCGCACAGGAAAUGGUGGCUAAGCCGUCUCCAGACAGUGAAUACAGGGCUCUGUGAUUCGGCUCAGUCUAUACAGAUGGCAGGAUCCCCAAGGUUUUCUGAGGAUGCGGGAAGCCGCGGCCGAGGUGCAGUAAAGGGAGCUGUCCUGGCCGAGGUCGGCCUCAGCCUGGAUGCUCACCAGCUGCAUAACCCACCGACAGAGGAGCACAAACAGAAGAGCAGUGGCAUAUGAUAUGUCUAAUUCCUUGCAAACAAGUAUUAGCUGGAGGCCCUUCUGGUCCAGGGUUGGGGCACACUUCAUUCCACGACUCCAAGGUAGGCCAGCACCCUUAACACUCCUUCGCUGCACAGGCCCCUGGGCUCACAUCUGAGGUCCCAGCUGCUGCUGGAGAGGGAGGAACAUUUGAGCUCAGGAGUGGCCACGUCAGCUUAGGAAGGUGGUUACCCUCCCCUGGGUAACCACUAAAUGGGAGCCCCUAAAUGUCUGCCUCACUUACACCUAGAUCACCAUGCAGUCAACGGUCACGACACCCCUCAGCUCCCGUGGUCUCCUUCCCCAUCCCUGAGGUAGGAGCUGAGGCCUCGAGGGACAGCGAGUCUGCCAUUGCAGAAGGAGCUUCCUCCCUCGUCUGUGUUGGUGGGCACAGGAAGGAUGGACAAGUUCCAGAUGGGGUUCUAGGACCAUGGAGACCUCAGACAAGGUUUCUCUGUGUAGCCCUGGCUUUUCUGAACUCACUUUGUUGAUCAGGUGGCCUCACAGAGAUCCACCCGCCUCUGCCUCCCUGUGUUCUGGGAUCACAGGUGUGCGCUGUGCCCGGCUCAGGGCCCCAUUUCAAGGGCGUCUCCACCAGUCAGACCCAGGGUUCCCACCCUCAGAGGGGCUCCGGGACUGGAAUUCUUCCCCAGGUGCCUCUGCUCCAGAGCUCCACCCUCCAGCCAGGCUGCUCUUCUGGAGGAAGGAGGUGAUAGUCCCAGCACCCACACAGCGGCUCACAACCCUUUGUAAUUGGUUCCGGAGGUUCCAACGCCCUCUUCUGGCUGCUGUGGGCACUGCAUGGGUGUGGUCCACAGACAUACACGAAGGCAAAAUACGCUAACGCAGAAAGUAAAAAUAAAUAAAAAUCUAAAAAAAAAAAAAUUGAAGAUAAACAGAUUUGCUCAAGGCCGCAGAGCAUGGUUUAGGUCUGGCUGCCUCCUGCCUGAGACCCGCUGAUCCUGAGAGCAGCUGUCGGCUUUUGCCCUUGUGUUUGGGUUGUCCAGCUUUGAACCUAGGCCAAAAAUGCCUGUCAGGCAUCUGAAAUUCCCCCUUCCCCUCGUGCCUUUCCUCUCGACCAACUUUUUCAUUUUUUUCUGAAAAAAAUAAAAUAAUAAUGAUAAUAAUAAUUUUAAAAAGGUUUUGCUGCCACCUACUGGUGAGAAGACAGAAUGGCAUGUCUCCAGUCUGAGUGUGCUAAUUGACUCAAAAGCCUUCGGGAUCAUGGAAUUUGGUAUACUUCAAAAUUAUUCAUCGUGCUCCUUUUCACAGAUGAUGAAAAUUAUACAAGGAGGAAUUAAAAAAAGAGUCUUAGCAGUUUUAGCCCUGGCUCCUUCUCCCUCCCCCAGGUUUUGGCAGCGUCUGGCUGCCCCAGAAGCCAAGCUAGGGCAGAUGUGGUGAAGUAUGAUGUUAAUCUCAGCAACUAAGGGUGUGUGUGUGUGUGUGGUUAAGGCAGGUCUGAUCUACCUAGCCACAUCCAGAAUUCUGGGCCAGACAAGGCUACAUCGUGAAACCUUUUCUUAAAAAAUGAAAACAAAAACAAAAAAACAAAGAAGAAAAGAUCUAGCUAUCUAGCUCAAGAUGGCUACACACUUGGAGCAAGCCUAGCACGUACUGAAA